rnacentral:tRNA from 1 species
AGGACUAUCGCCAAGUGGCUUAAGGCAACAGGCUCUGACCCUGUUAUUUCGGGGGUUCGAAACCCUCUAGUCCUGCCA